UACGUAGGAUGCAAGCGUUGUCCGGAAUUAUUGGGCGUAAAGAGCGCGCAGGCGGUCUGCCAAGUCAGAUGUGAAAGAGGCCGGCUUAACCGGCAAGGGUCAUUUGAAACUGACAGACUAGAGUGCAGCAGAGGAUAGCGGAAUUCCCGGUGUAGUGGUGAAAUGCGUAGAUAUCGGGAGGAACACCAGUGGCGAAGGCGGCUCGCUGGGACGUGACUGACGCUGAGACGCGAAAGCGUGGGGAGCAAACAGG
rnacentral:rRNA from 1 species